rnacentral:ncRNA from 1 species
AUCUUCGGGGCAGGGUGAAAGUCCCUACCGGCAGUUACAGUCUGCGAGCCUCCGCGCGAAAGCGCGUGCGCAUGAUGCGGUGAAAUCCCGCAACCGACGGUCAUAGUCCGGAUGAGAGAAGAA